rnacentral:rRNA from 1 species
CCCUUAGAUGUUCUGGGCCGCACGCGCGCUACACUGAUGCGUUCAACGAGUAUACAACCUUGAUCGAUAGGUCUGGGUAAUCUUGUGAAUGCGCAUCGUGCUAGGGAUAGACUGUUGCAAUUUUCAGUCUUGAACGAGGAAUUCCUAGUAAACGCAAGUCAUCAGCUUGCAUUGAUUACGUCCCUGCCCUUUGUACACACCGCCCGUCGCACCUACCGAUUGAAUGACUCGGUGAAAAAUUGGGACCGUGAGUCUGUUUGCUUAAUUGCGAGUGGAUUGAUGGGAACUUUUUUAAACCUCGCCAUUUAGAGGAAGGUGAAGUCGUAACAAGGUUUCCGUAGGUGAACCUGCGGAAGGAUCAUUA